CAGCCGCCGCGGUAAUACGAAGGGGGCUAGCGUUGUUCGGAUUUACUGGGCGUAAAGCGCACGUAGGCGGACUUUUAAGUCAGGGGUGAAAUCCCGGGGCUCAACCCCGGAACUGCCUUUGAUACUGGAAGUCUUGAGUAUGGUAGAGGUGAGUGGAAUUCCGAGUGUAGAGGUGAAAUUCGUAGAUAUUCGGAGGAACACCAGUGGCGAAGGCGGCUCACUGGACCAUUACUGACGCUGAGGUGCGAAAGCGUGGGGAGCAAACAGGAUUAGAGACCCCCGUAGUCCCUGUCUCUUAUAC
rnacentral:rRNA from 1 species